rnacentral:rRNA from 1 species
GACGAACGCUGGCGGCGUGCUUAACACAUGCAAGUCGAACGGAAAGGCCCUGCUUUUGUGGGGUGCUCGAGUGGCGAACGGGUGAGUAACACGUGAGUAACCUGCCCUUGACUGUGGGAUAACUUCAGGAAACUGGGGGUAAUACCGGAUAGGAGCUCCUGCUGCAGGGUGGGGGUUGGAAAGUUUCGGCGGUUGGGGAUGGACUCGCGGCUUAUCAGCUUGUUGGUGGGGUAGUGGCUUACCAAGGCUUUGACGGGUAGCCGGCCUGAGAGGGUGACCGGCCACAUUGGGACUGAGAUACGGCCCAGACUACUACGGGAGGCAGCAGUGGGGAAUAUUGCACAAUGGGCGGAAGCCUGAUGCAGCCACGCCGCGUGCGGGAUGACGGCAUUCGGGUUGUAAACCGCUUUCGCCUGUGACGAAGCGUGAGUGACGGUAAUGGGUAAAGAAGCACCGGCUAACUACGUG